CUUCCAUACAAAUUUCAAAAAAUGUCUUAUUUAGUAAUAGUUCUGAACUAGGUAAUAUUUGAAAAUAUUAAAAUAGCAAAUUCAUUGCAUUCAUUAAAUGUUUAACAAAAAAUAAUACUUCAUUAACAAUCAUUGUAUGAACUGGUAUUGGUAAUUUUAUACUAGAUACAAUUAGAUGUGUGUGGCAUUUAGUCACACAUAAAUUAAGUAUUGAGUAUAUAAAGUUAAAAGAUGAUUGCUUAUUUUUGCCGACCAUCGGAGAAACCAAUAAUAACAGUGUGUAACCAAAACGAAAUUAGGUGUCUAUUUAAGUACUUAGGUAGUAGGAUUCCUUACUAAUUUUUACAAUGUUAAAAAUUUGUAUACAUUUUACAGUAGGUAAUAAUUAUUGUUAAUAAACCAUUAAACCAUAAAAUCAAUUAUUUAACUGUGAAAUGCUACUUCCUAUAGGCCAUCUUACGAUAAUCAACAAUAACAAUUAUCAAUUUGCCACUUUAAAGUUAUUACUACUCGUAUUGCAUGUGGCACGUGCCAACUCUUACACACAAUUUGGGUGUGUUCCCCUUGACAAAAUUUGUGAAUUGUAUAAUUGUUGUCUUAUCUUUUUAACGUGUAUCGUUUAAUUUGUACCUACUAUUACAAUUAUAACAAAAAUAAAAUAUUGUUUUUAAUGACUUCACAUGUUUUUUGGUAGGUACUCGCAUUUACUUUGUACGUAGUACACUUCAAAUUUAAAAAUUAAUAAAAUUUGAUGACUUGGUAUACACAACUUUACUUUAAAAUUUAAAUAAAUUUGUGCAUAGGUAUAGCCUGUACCAUGUAUACUGCUUGUGAUUUACAAAGCAAUCUGUAUUUUGUAAAAUUAAUUAUUAGUUGACAUUUAUCAAUUAUCUAUAAAUAUUAAGUUAAAAAUGUGCCUAACAAAUAAUUAAGGUUGGUCAUUACCAUAUAUUAAUGGAUUUUAUAUCAAAUUGAGUAAGUAUUUUUUGCUGGAUGUUGGUGUGAGUUCAUCAUUUUACAAGUUCCAUUUUGGUACUAAAACAAUAAUUAUGUUAAAUUUGAAUUGGU